GGAACGGACUGGAGGAGAGGAAAGCUUUCCAAUAUAUAUCCCUACCACCCCCUGCCCAUUAUAGCUCCCCGCUUCUUCUGUCCCAUCCCUUUUUCCUGUCUUCUCCCUCUGUUUUUAUACUCCAUAUGCAUUUCUUUGCCUCAUUGUUCCUGACUUUAAUUAGAAUAACUUCUAAAGUAUGAUGUAAGCUUCAGAUCUACAUAGAAGUUCUUAUUGUGAAUACAGCAAAAAGGUGGCUGUCUAUAAACCAGGAAGUGGUUGCAUCAGACACUAAUCUGCCAGCACCGGGAUUUCAGACUUCCCAGCCUUCACAACUCUCGUGCUUGGCAACACCUAGGGUGGCUGCGUAAGCAAAAGGAGGAAAAGAUGGAAGGAGAAGACAAAGACUCGGCUCGCUCAGCAGCUCGAGAUUUCGAAACAAGACGUCGCCAAACUGCCGACUUCUUUUGCCUUUGGUUCCUUUUUGCAGUAUUAUUAAUAAAGCAAGAAAGAAAAGAUAAGGAUGGAAAGAUUUAACAAAAGGAAAACACAGUCUCUAGUGCAAUUUUUCUUAGUUUCUUUUGUUUCCUCAGCCAUGUUGGCCAUAAUCAGACUGCAGGUUGAAAA
rnacentral:lncRNA from 1 species